UGAGGAAUAUUGGGCAAUGCCCGCAAGGGUGACCCAGCAACGCCGCGUGGAGGAUGAAUGUCGUAAGAUUGUAAACUCCUGUUAGAGGGGAAGAAUAGUACCGGUUGGACCGGUAUAUGACUGUACCCUCAGAGAAAGCCCCGGCUAACUACGUGCCAGCAGCCGCGGUAAUACGUAGGGGGCAAGCGUUGUCCGGAUUUACUGGGUGUAAAGGGCGCGCAGGCGGGAUAAAAAGUCAGUGGUGAAAUCCUACAGCUUAACUAUAGAACUGCCUUUGAUACUUUUAUUCUUGAGUUCGGGAGAGAGAGACGGAAUUCCAGGUGUAGUGGUGAAAUACGUAGAUAUCUGGAAGAACACCAGUUGCGAAGGCGGUCUCUUGGUCCGACACUGACGCUGAGGCGCGAAAGCGUGGGGAGCAAACA
rnacentral:rRNA from 1 species